rnacentral:rRNA from 1 species
ACCAGACUCCUACGGGAGGCAGCAGUGGGGGAUAUUGCACAAUGGGGGGAACCCUGAUGCAGCGACGCCGCGUGGGUGAAGAAGUAUUUCGGUAUGUAAAGCCCUAUCGGCAGGGAAGAAAUUGGACGGUACCUGACUAAGAAGCCCCGGCUAACUACGUGCCAGCAGCCGCGGUAAUACGUAGGGGGCAAGCGUUAUCCGGAUUCACUGGGUGUAAAGGGAGCGUAGACGGCCAUGCAAGCCUGGAGUGAAAGCCCGGGGCCCAACCCCGGGACUGCUCUGGGAACUGUGCGGCUGGAGUGCGGGAGGGGCAGGCGGAAUUCCUGGUGUAGCGGUGAAAUGCGUAGAUAUCAGGAGGAACACCGGCGGCGAAGGCGGCCUGCUGGACCGCGACUGACGUUGAGGCUCGAAAGCGUGGGGAGCAAACAGGAUUAGAUACCCGUGUA